UACGUAGGGUGCAAGCGUUGUCCGGAAUUAUUGGGCGUAAAGAGCUCGUAGGCGGUUUGUCGCGUCUGCUGUGAAAACUCGGGGCUUAACUCCGGGCCUGCAGUGGGUACGGGCAGACUAGAGUGCGGUAGGGGAGACUGGAAUUCCUGGUGUAGCGGUGAAAUGCGCAGAUAUCGGGAGGAACACCGGUGGCGAAGGCGGUUCUCUGGGCCUUACCUGACGCUGAGGAGCGAAAGCGUGGGGAGCGAACAGG
rnacentral:rRNA from 1 species